UCCUCCAGCUGCAAUAAUUCUGGAAGUGGUGCGUAGAGUUUUAUUGGUCAAAAUCCAGAAGUGGUUUACCAUUGCCCCCUUCCGCGCAGCCAACUUGGGUAUCCACCCUGGACUCUCUCCCACGCCGCUGCUGCCCAGCACAGAGCUCUACUCGUCUUGUCAAGCAACCGUAAUAGAGGAAAGAGAGAAGGGGUAUUCAGAUGUGAUCGGAUUGAUUCGGGAACAGGUGAAUAUUGGAGAAAGAUACACGAAGAGGGGGACAUUCACGGACCCUGUAUGUUAUGCCCCGAAGCUGUGGAAACGAGUUUCAACCCAAAGGAAAUGAGAGUUACAUCGAGUCAGUCCAGGAAGGGGAGUGAUCAUGGUGUUGGUGAAUGGUUUUGGACUGAAUCCUGACACAUGCAGAGAUGAGACCAAACAAUGCCAGAGGAGACAUUAAAUGAAGAAAUGGGAUUAAUUCUCUCAUAUGUUCACGGACGAGAUCUUUGAACAGGGUGCUGUGGCCAUGGUGGUUUGGAGGGUCCCAUUUCCCGUGUGUGUUUCCUACGCUUUCCUCUCAGGAACCUAUCAGUCAACUCUACAGAGCACCUUUGCUCCCAGAAAAAGCCGACCUCAAGGGGAAGACUUCUCUGUGAGGAAAAUGCAUCAUUUGACCUCAGCCAAGUUCACUGAACGCUCAUCCUCCCUUGUGAAAUCUUCACAACUCCAUCUGUUUCCCCAUUUUCCCAUAAUGCCUUUGAAUGGUCCCGUCAGAAAUUCAUGGUGUGUGAGAGA